CACACAGGUAAACAGUCCCACUCUAUCCCAUUCAGGUCUUUCUACUGUUUCUUUAGGGUUUUGUUUAGCAUAUUUUCUUUUUUCAGUGAGAGAAGAAGUGAGAAGAAUAAUGUGUAAGAGUCAAAAGAUCUGGAUUCUGGUCCCAGCUGUGUCAUUUACUUUGGAUCUGAGAUGCCAACAUCUUUAGUUUGCAGCUUCAAGUUUCUGUCUUCAAGAGUGCCUCCUGUCACAGUUGGUUUCUGGAGCUCCAGCCAUCACAUCUACCAUACAGGGGUUGGAAAAAGGAAGAUGACCCAGUGAAGAAGGCAAAAGUGACCUUAAAGAAGUGGAAGGAAAAUCAGCAUACAGCUGUGCUGAGAAAGCUAAGUGUGGAAAAGUUCAAGAGAAGCUAAAGUCAACAUUUUCAAUUCAUUCGCCGCUUCUUCAUAGAGGCACCUGAAAGAAAUCAUUAGUGAUUCUUUCAGUGGACCACAAGGCUAUGCUUAUACCAUUCACAUCACUCUCAUAACAAUGUUCUAUAAUUAUUUGUUUGUAUGUCUGUCACUCCCACCUCAAACUCAAUUAUUAUCAGCUUUCCAAGUCAGCAUUAGUCUUUCUUUCUUUUGUGUUCCCUAUAACAUCUUGCAUUCUGUGUAGCAUAAAAUAGGCGUGUAAUACAUAUUUGUUGAGCAGGUGAAGAAUUUAAUCUAAUUUAAGGCUUAAAUG